AACGAACGCUGGCGGCAUGCCUAACACAUGCAAGUCGAACGAGACCUUCGGGUCUAGUGGCGCACGGGUGCGUAACGCGUGGGAACCUGCCCUUAGGUUCGGAAUAACUCCCCGAAAGGGGUGCUAAUACCGGAUAAUGUCUUCGGACCAAAGAUUUAUCGCCUUUGGAUGGGCCCGCGUUGGAUUAGCUAGUUGGUAGGGUAAAAGCCUACCAAGGCGACGAUCCAUAGCUGUCUGAGAGGAUGAUCAGCCACACUGGGACUGAGACACGGCCCAGACUCCUACGGGAGGCAGCAGUGGGGAAUAUUGGACAAUGGGCGAAAGCCUGAUCCAGCAAUGCCGCGUGAGUGAUGAAGGCCUUAGGGUUGUAAAGCUCUUUUACCCGGGAUGAUAAUGACAGUACCGGGAGAAUAAGCUCCGGCUAGCUCCGUG
rnacentral:rRNA from 1 species